rnacentral:rRNA from 1 species
GACGAACGCUGGCGGCGUGCCUAAUACAUGCAAGUCGAGCGGACCGAACAGGAGCUUGCUCUUGUUCGGUUAGCGGCGGACGGGUGAGUAACACGUGGGUAACCUGCCCGUAAGACCGGGAUAACUCCGGGAAACCGGAGCUAAUACCGGAUAACACCGAAGACCGCAUGGUCUUUGGUUGAAAGGCGGCUUCGGCUGCCACUUACGGAUGGGCCCGCGGCGCAUUAGCUAGUUGGUGAGGUAACGGCUCACCAAGGCGACGAUGCGUAGCCGGCCUGAGAGGGUGACCGGCCACACUGGGACUGAGACACGGCCCAGACUCCUACGGGAGGCAGCAGUAGGGAAUCUUCCGCAAUGGACGAAAGUCUGACGGAGCGACGCCGCGUGAGUGAAGAAGGUCUUCGGAUCGUAAAGCUCUGUUGGUAGGGAAGAAGAAGCGUCGUUCGAACAGGGCGGCGCGGUGACGGUACCUAACGAGAAAGCCCCGGCUAACUACGU